GGUCGCGUGGUGUAGUUGGUUAUCACACUUGUCUAACAUCUGCGAAGACGUGGACACAAGUGGUCCCCAGUUCGAACCUGGGCGCGAUCA
rnacentral:tRNA from 1 species